CCUAUCUCUCCCUUCCUGAAUGUAUCUCUCCCUCUCUCCGGCUGUCUCUAUAUCUCUCUCUUUCUGUUUUUUCAUGUUUUCGUCCGACCGUCUCUCUCUUGCCCUGUCCAUGUCCCUCUUUAUUAGUAUGAUAUAUGGUAAUAUACAUGUACUACUUAGGCAGGUAAAUGACUCCAUCACAUAUUGUUUAUUAUUAUUUUAUUUUUUUUGUAGAUUUUUGAGUUUCGAUGUUGCAGCUGUUUGUUUUAUUUUUCAAUUCACAUCCUCUUAUGUAUUUAUUGAUGAACUUGAGGUAAUGUUUAUUUGGAAAGCUAAUCUUGAUAGGCGAUUUUACCAAUAUCCAUGAAGUGUUUGAUAAAAUGUGAAGAUUUGGGGGACUUUCUGUCUUCAUGUUUGGUGUGAGUGGAAUUGUGGAGGAAGGAAAAGACGAGGAGGGAACGGAAGGCAAAAAGAUGAGGUAUUUAAUUUGCAGAAAAUGGGGUAUUUGAGAGACUUGCAAGCUGCGGACUACUGUCAAAUAUGAUACUGUAUUUUUAUAAUGGAUUACAGGAUGAGCUUGACAAAAGGCCUUGGGUUCAUCAUUGCUUCAAGUGUCUGUC
rnacentral:lncRNA from 1 species